rnacentral:rRNA from 1 species
UACGUAGGGUGCAAGCGUUGUCCGGAAUUAUUGGGCGUAAAGAGCUCGUAGGCGGUCUGUCGCGUCGGCUGUGAAAUCCCGAGGCUCAACCUCGGGUCUGCAGUCGAUACGGGCAGGCUAGAGUUCGGUAGGGGAGACUGGAAUUCCUGGUGUAGCGGUGAAAUGCGCAGAUAUCAGGAGGAACACCGGUGGCGAAGGCGGGUCUCUGGGCCGAUACUGACGCUGAGGAGCGAAAGCGUGGGGAGCGAACAGG